rnacentral:rRNA from 1 species
ACCUCUUCGUGAAGAGGCGAAGAUUCUUCUAUAAGACGAGAAGACCCCAUGGAGCUUAAAACACAGAAACAAUUUCUUCCCCUUAACCCUAAAAAAUAAGAAAUUCUGUUACACUAGUUUUCGGCUGGGGUGCCCGGGGAGAAUAACCCAUCCUCCCUGACGACAGUAUCUAAGAGCAACAACUCAAAGAAACAACAAAUUGACGUAAAAUGACCCGACUUUUGCAGUCGAUCAACGAACCAAGUUACCCUGGGGAUAACAGCGCAAUCCAUUUCAAGAGCCCCUAUCGACAAAUGGGUUUACGACCUCGAUGUUGGAUCAGGGUAUCCUAGUGGUGCAGCAGCUACUAAAGGUUUGUUUGUUCAACAAUUAAAACCCUACGUGAUCUGAGUUCAGACCGG